rnacentral:lncRNA from 1 species
AAAAAUAGUGCCCAGCAGCACAGCCGGGUCAGAACCGCGACAAUGUUACCGCGAAUAUUUAUUGAUCGGCCCUUUUAACGCGCCCGUCGCGGUCAGCACGUGACCGGAAUUCGUUCAGCCAAACCCCACGCGUGGCAACCGGCGACGGGGCGCCCCAUGUCACAGAGGAGGAGGCCGGGGCUCGGAGGAAGCCGGCGGCCCGUCCCAGGCACCCCAGCCAGUGGAGAGAGACCUGAAUUGACGUGAUGGGCGAACCCCUCAUCUGCAGCCCCCGUGGACAGCACGCAGGUGUUCGCUAUAUCCGUCUUCGCGCUGUUCUUUCUUUCCGACUCAAAAUUAAAAACGAGUGAUUACAACGAAGAGACAAAGUCGCGGAGCAUUGAAAUAGGUGGAGCAGAAGCCGUAGAACAUUCCAGGCGGAGGCGCCAGCGUCAGCAAAGACCUGGAGGCCGCGAAAUGAGUGCCUGGCCCCACUCACCCACCGGAAGAGAAUACCCAAGGAUGGGAUAAAGCAGGAGGUGGAGAUCAUCCAAGGGCCCUUCUAGAAGUGGGACUCAUUGAGGAUGGCACUCGAUGCUCUCACCGUGGAAUACUACACAGCUGUUAAAAGUGAUAGGGAGUUUUCAUUUAGAAUAUUAUCCUGUUACUGUUAAAAAAAAUGCAUGCAUAUAAGCAUCCGUCAUAAUCCAGGAAAGGCCAUGCCUCAGUGCCUUUGCACGUGCCGUGCUUUCUGCCUGGAAUGCUCUUCCUUCGUCUCUCUGCAUAGCUCCCUCUCUCAUCUCCUUCUGGCCUGUGUUCCAGUGUCACCUCCUCCGAGAAGCCCUCCAUGACCACUCUCUGUCUAAAAUAGUCCCAUCCCCCCCGACCCCCGACCCUACUUUGUUUUGUCCGCAUCACGGCUCAUCAUUUGACCUUACACUUAUCUUGCUGACCCUCCGUCUCCCCCACUGGAAUGUCAGCUGCACGAGGGUGAGGACUCCUGCCUGGUUUGUUCACUGCGGUGUUUCCAUUGCCUGGCACACAGUCGGUGCUCAAUAAAUACAAGUUGAACACAUGAA